rnacentral:rRNA from 1 species
AUUGAACGCUGGCGGCAUGCUUUACACAUGCAAGUCGAACGGCAGCACGGACUUCGGUCUGGUGGCGAGUGGCGAACGGGUGAGUAAUACAUCGGAACGUACCCAGUCGUGGGGGAUAACGCAGCGAAAGCUGUGCUAAUACCGCAUACGAUCUAUGGAUGAAAGCGGGGGACCGUAAGGCCUCGCGCGAUUGGAGCGGCCGAUGUCAGAUUAGGUAGUUGGUGGGGUAAAGGCUCACCAAGCCAACGAUCUGUAGCUGGUCUGAGAGGACGACCAGGCACACGGGGAGUGAGACACGGCCCAGACUCCGACGGGAGGCAGCAGUGGGGAAUUUUGGACAAUGGGCGCAAGCCUGAUCCAGCAAUGCCGCGUGCAGGAAGAAGGCCUUCGGGUUGUAAACUGCUUUUGUACGGAGCGAAAAGGCUCCCUCUAAUACAGGGGGCUCAUGACGGUACCGUAAGAAUAAGCACCGGCUAACUACGUGCCAGCAGCCGCGGUAAGAC